CAAGAGCAGCGGAGGGGAAGUCACUGGUCACUGACUGACUGAUACAGUGCGUGUGAGGUUCAGCCAGCAGUGAGGGAAGAGAAUCACCGUUCCCAGAGCCAGGCGGAUCAGAUUCUGACACACACCGCUCGCAAACAUCAUUUUAACCUCCUAAGACCCGCACUCUUUUUCGUCUGUUCCUUAGGGUCUGUCCCCCGUCAGAAUGUCCAGCUGUGGCUCCUGCCUCUACUCCAUCAUAUGGCUCAUCAUUCUGCUGAUGUUGGCCUGGCCCCUCAGCAUGUUCCUGGGGGGUGUGUACGGGUUUGUCGCCCCCCUGACCACCUGCGUGGGCCUGGACCGCCUCACUGACCUGCUCCUGGAGGGCGCCAACCUGGGCCGGACCUGCGCCCUUAACAUUCGGCACGGGAAGCCCCUGUGCUGAGCCAGAACCAUGGAAACGAUUUCCCCCGGCACAGACGCCCGUGAAGACGAAUGGGUGGUCACCAAAGUGUUUGUCUAAAAUUCCAAACCACCACAAACACGCCUUUUCAAUAUUAAUGCCGUGAAACAACGGUGUCCCCAAGUCUUUUUACCACUUUGAAAUAGUUUACUUGUACUUUUUGUUUUAAAUUGAAAUGUACCUUGGUUCAUUCACCUAUUGCCCAAAAUGGACUUCUGGCUGGGGUUGAAUUCUGAUGUUUUUUAGAACAAUAGAAGUGGCAUAGCUACUAAAAAUGGGCGAUGCACUUUAUACAAAUGUCUCUCUUACAUUUUACUUUUACUUAUGGUGUACAUGAGUAUACAGCACCUUCCCAAAACAUUCCAGUUACUUAUAAAGUGCAAGUUAAUAAAAACUGUAUUGAGUGAAAUGACAUACAUUACCCUACUGUAUUUCUAACUGAGAAACUGUAGAAGUUUUGUAAAACAAUUAAAAAAGUUCUCACUGAA